CAGCGAGGUGCUUUGCCCCACCAAGACAUGGCACAGAGAAACACAAAGGCUUCACAAGCAAUCAGCACCACAGCACUCGGGACUGCACCACUCUAUUUCUUUCUCUCACUCUCUGUCUUUAUUGUGCAGAGGAUGGCAAUGACCCUGCUGCAGUUUCCUCUGAGAGAGCCAGCAUUAUCAUGUUUUCAUGGUGGAAGCAUCCUCCAUCCUCAACCCAGUGUUCACCUGCCCUCCAUGUGCACAGGCUGAAGUUGUUUUGUUUUUUUUCCUCCAGCCCUGUGUCCUUUUGCUGCUUGUCAUGUGUCAUGCUUUACUUUUCUCUCCUAAUUUUCUGACAAGACCUGUUGUUUUCCAGCAAGUUAACAAAGAAAUAUGAUGCGAUGAUCCCUCCAUGGGAGCAGUGUGGUAACAAAGACAGAGAGCCACUCUGAACCCUGAGGUGGAAAAAACAGACCCCGUCUCACAGAGUGUGAUGAAUAUACUCAGAUCCUGGUGUGUUGAAGACCACGCUAGUAAUUUACGAGUUCAGCCUUGGGUCAUACUAAACUCAUGGGAUUGAAGGAGAAGAGGAGAGGAGAGGAGAGAAAUUUGAGAUGAAAAACGUUGCAGUUCUCAGCAGUGCCAAGCUAAACGUGAUCAUUUACCUCACUCUCAUUCUGGCAGCAGCCCGUCUUCCCUCUCUCUUUCAUACCAAACCCUCAUCAGGAUGAUGUAUGUGCGGGUGUGGAGCCCAUUUCUCCAACCACCUGUGUAUUGCUUGCUUGUCUGGCAGUCUAAGAUGUCAGCUAGAGCAAUGAUGAUAUCAUUAUUCAAAACAUUACACAGAUUUGUAGAGCAGAGACGCACCAUGGAUUAUGGAAGAAGAAGGAAAAUAAAUAAAUAAAUGAAAUCCAUGUUCGGAGUGAUUCUGUCACCAGAGCCAGAUGUUGUUCUUGCUCUAUUUUCCUUUCCUCUGCAGAGAAAACACACUCUGAUCCAGACAAUUUGAGAAACUACAUGCAAGAACAAAAACAUAGCUUUGUGACAGUAUGUCUUGUGUUAGACUGUCAGAAUCAGGUCAGUUUGCCAUUGAAAAUCUACUCAAAGAUUUUCUUCGCUGAAGGGUUGAAACAGUGUUACACAAAAAGAUGUGCAAUUUACUCAGUACUGCAAACCUAUAUAAAAAAAAGCCCUGAUAAUGAAUUUUGUGGCUGUAGUUUGAGUUUUUAAUGAAUACUUGACUUUGAACUUAUGGCUUCUAUAUUGCUGCGUUCAUAAGGUUUUGACAUUUGUGUUAGAUGUGGGUGUAAUUUUAGACGACUCCUCGAGUUUUACAAAUCAAGAUUGGUGUACAAGGUAUGAGGAGCACUACUCUACUGUGGAAACAGUUGUGUAUUGUCCUCAAGUCUUAAAAAAUAACCCAGGUGAUCAGGGUAAUCGUGGUAUGAGAAUGGAGAUUUAAGAUUUUGCAUUACAAAUCAGAGAUGGGUGUAGACUUUGAAAUACGUGGGCUUUUGCUAGGCAGGGAAGGUCUACCAAAAAGACGCACUUGACUCAUACAUACAGGAGCUAAAAGUCUGAAUAUUUUGCCCUCUAUUUAAUCAAUUCAGACUAUUCUUU